rnacentral:siRNA from 1 species
UCCGUAUUCAUCACCACCGCCGUU